UCCCUGGUGGUCCAGUGGCUAAGACUCCACACUCCCAAUGCAGGGGCCGUGGGUUCAAUCCCCAGCCAGUGAA
rnacentral:tRNA from 1 species